rnacentral:rRNA from 1 species
AGAAUCAACGCUGGCGGCGUGCCUAACACAUGCAAGUCGAACGAGAAAGUGGUAGCAAUACCAUGAGUACAGUGGCGCACGGGUGAGUAACACGUGACUAACCUACCCUGGAGUGGGGGAUAAACUGAGGGAAACCUUAGCUAAUACCGCAUAAUACCUACGGGUCAAAGGAGCAAUUCGCUUCAGGAGGGGGUCGCGGCCGAUUAGUUAGUUGGCGGGGUAAUGGCCCACCAAGACAGUGAUCGGUAUCCGGCCUGAGAGGGCGCACGGACACACUGGAACUGAAACACGGUCCAGACUCCUACGGGAGGCAGCAGUGGGGAAUUUUGCGCAAUGGGGGAAACCCUGACGCAGCAACGCCGCGUGGAGGAUGAAGUCCUUCGGGACGUAAACUCCUUUCGAUCGGGACGAUAAUGACGGUACCGGAAGAAGAAGCCCCGGCUAACUUCGCGCCAGCAGCCGC